rnacentral:rRNA from 1 species
UACGGAGGGUGCAAGCGUUAUCCGGAUUUACUGGGUUUAAAGGGUGCGUAGGUGGAUUGGGUAGUCAGUGGUGAAAUACUUUCGCUUAACGAAGGAACUGCCAUUGAUACUCUCAAUCUUGAAUACAGUGGAGGCAGGCGGAAUGUGUCAUGUAGCGGUGAAAUGCUUUAGAUAUGACACAGAACACCUAUUGCGAAGGCAGCUUGCUACACUGUGAUUGAC